rnacentral:lncRNA from 1 species
CGACUCUCCCUUUGUGCACCAGUCCACAGACGCAGAGUGACAAGACUGGGGACAAGAAGACAGAGCAAUUGCAGCACAACUUUCUUCAAAUCAAUGCAUCCUAAAUCAAUCGAAAUGCUCUCGGAGCUUUUGGGAAAUGAUUCUGCAGUUUACAGUUAAUUCAAAAAGCAGCAACUUCUGCUCGGGAACACAGAUUCCAGCGUCCUUAACGACAUGACUUGCUGUGGAGGAGCACGUGAGGUUUUGUGGUCACAGAACAGAGGAAGAUUAUGAACCUCGAUGACAUCACCGGGGACAGGUCCCAUCCCAGGAGGACACUGGGAGCUUAUCGAGAUGUGGACAGACUGCAGUCCUGAGAGUGGAGAAACUUAGAAGGGAAGAUGUCCAUUCCCUAAAACAUGGAAGAGUUAGAUAAACACACCAUAGGGUCCUGACUUACCUCAUCUACCAGAGAGCUGGAGUCACAGAACUACAGAUUUCUUGAAACACUGGGGAACUGGAAUGUGCCCCACCUGAGUCCAGUUUACCUGUGAGUGAGGAACCACAGCUGCCUUAGAUGUGUCUAAAGUUGGGUUUCUUCUGAAAGUUGGAUGUGAGAAGUCCAGAAACCUGGACACAGAAGCAUUUACAUGAAGCAAGCAUGGCCUCAUCUCUACAGACCUCCUGAGGACCACAGGGAAGAGCCAGUACAUGGAGAAGCAAGGACUUGCAUCCCCUGGACGGCAGAUUCAGAAGAGUGGGCAGCCCCUGCUGUAGGAAAGGAGGAAGUGCCUCUGGCUUAGAUCCUUCUGCCCCAUUUCUCCCACGGACAGGAGACAUGGCUGACUUAGGGGAAGCAGAGCUCUUGUCUUGCCUUUGGAGAAGGCUCAUCUCAGCUGGAACAAAGAGAGAAGGUAUGCCCAGAGCCAGUGUGGUUGCCACAGAGAGGAAGGGGCUCAGUGUCAUUAAGUCAUCUGUAACUGUGGCCCAGUGACACGGGUCUUUGUUGGUCUGAAGAUAAGUUAGGACAACACAGAGCAUCACUUGGAAAGCCAAGCAGGCGGCGAUGAAGUGCGACUUUGGAAGAUCUGAGAGGAAAACAUGUCAGUGCGGAAAUAUGUGCUGGUAAAAGCACAGAAGUGUCGAGGUAUCUUCAGGAAAACACUGGAAAGACUUCAUUAGCAGCACACCUGCUCUCUAAGAACUCUGAGAGAUAUUUCAUUAAGGAAGGAAAGCCAGGCAGGAACUGAGAUCUGCACAGAGGAAUCGACUGGUGAUGUAAUAGAAACCAAAGUGUGAAAAUUAUUUCUUCCCAUUUUAAUUGCCGCAAAGAUAAUUGACUGCUUGAAAUAGAAAUUGUGGUAGUGGCCUGUGUGUAUGUGUGUGUUUAUUUGUGUGUGGUUUGUGUGU